ACAGAGGGGAAGGUUGUGGGGGAUGGGUUAAAUAGGUGAUGGGUAUUAAGGAGGGCACUUGCCAUGAUGAGCAAUGGGUGAUGUCUGGAAGUGUUGAACCAUACUAUAUUGUAUAUUUGCA